rnacentral:rRNA from 1 species
GACGAACGCUGGCGGCGUGCUUAACACAUGCAAGUCGAACGGAAAGGCCAGUGCUUGCACUGGUACUCGAGUGGCGAAUGGGUGAGUAACACGUGGGUGAUCUGCCUUGCACUCUGGGAUAAGCUUGGGAAACUGGGUCUAAUACCGGAUAUGAACUGCCUUUAGUGUGGUGGUUGGAAAGUUUUUUCGGUGCAAGAUGAGCUCGCGGCCUAUCAGCUUGUUGGUGGGGUAAUGGCCUACCAAGGCGUCGACGGGUAGCCGGCCUGAGAGGGUGUACGGCCACAUUGGGACUGAGAUACGGCCCAGACUCCUACGGGAGGCAGCAGUGGGGAAUAUUGCACAAUGGGCGGAAGCCUGAUGCAGCGACGCCGCGUGGGGGAUGACGGCCUUCGGGUUGUAAACUCCUUUCGACAGGGACGAAGCGUAAGUGACGGUACCUGUAUAAGAAGCACCGGCUAACUACGUG